ensembl:lincRNA
UGCCUUAGACUGGCCCACCGGGCUCAUCUGUCCAUGAGAUUUUCCAGGCAAGAAUACUGGAGUGAGUUGCCAUUUCCUUCUCCACAACACUCACUUCUUCAGAUGAUAAAAUUAUUGCUCCACCACAGGGAAUCUUGUAUUAAUAGGAAGAAAGAAAUGCAUCUCAGCCAAGGAGAGGACAGAGAGAACACAACUCCCAGCCCCGCUUGGGUGUGUUCCCAGGCUGCACAGCUUCCAGAAGGCAGAAAGCAAGACAACACCAAGAAGUUUAACAGCAUUGCUUUCAAGUUCUGCCAUGAUGAAUCAGCUCAAAGGAUUCCCCAAUCUUUGUGUCCCUUUUCCAAGUUUCAAAUUCUCAGGGAUCAUAAUGAAAAGCCCAAAACCGAAGGCUUGCGUGCCACAUCCAGGAACUACAGAGAAUGGAGACCAGGGCAGUCACAUCCUAUUCCCGUCCUGGUGUGGAGGGAGAAGCGUGCUGGGGGCUGGGAUGAAGUGUGAAGAGAGGAUGAGGAGGAGUGCCCGGGCCUGCUCCCUAGAGGAGCAACAGUGCAGAGCUGACCUGACCCCACUCAAACCUGGGCUUCCCAGGUGGCGCUAGUGGUAAAGAAGCUGCCUGCCAAUGCAGGAGACAUAAGAGAGGCGGGUUGGAUCCCUGGGUCAGGAAGAUCCUUUGGAGGAGGGCAUGGCAACCCACUCCAGUAUUCAUGCCUGGAGAAUCCCAUGGACAGAGGAGCCUGGCGGGCUACGGUCCACGGCGUUGCAGAGAGUCGGACACGGCUGAAGUGAUGGAGCAUGCAUGUGCUUAAACUUACAGGUUUCAGGAGGGCUUUGUCCUGUAGUUUAUUAACAGAUUUCAAGGAACAAUCACUUACUCCCACACUGUAGCUCCAGGUCAAUCAUACGUUUCCUAGUUGGUUCAUUUUGCAAUUCAUUUCCUAAACUUCAGACUCAUAUAACUAAAUGCCCAUAAGAUGCCUGGCUCAGCCUGGGCAAUGCUAAACUCCUCCUCCUCUUCCCUAAAUGUGUUCCUUUUCUGACUAUCUCCUCUGUCCUCUUUCUGGUAUUGGUACCACCAACCCUAGCCACACAGGCUAAAUGAGACCAUCUCAUCCCCACACUCUCCUUCAAUCCCACCCCCACCCCAGCACCAUGUCACCAGUUACUAAAUUCUGGCUAAUUUAUCUCCUAACUCAUUCUCAGUUCCUCCCACCAGCCUUCUCUCCUUUUCCAUUGCUAGUUCAGAAUUUCUUCCUGUAAAGCAGUCUUAAGACACCCUUAUCAAUCCUUGUUAUUGCCUGAAUGAAAAAGGAUCUUCCUGUCUGUUUACUGUGGGGUAAAUGACGACCAGAUUCUUUUAGAGUUGAGCUGAAGAGGGAAAAGAGAACAGGAUUUCAAGAGAUGCCUGAGAGGAAGGCAUGAUCAAAGGGGAUAUAACCCAAAUUUCCUCUGCUCUCCUCAGCCUUUCAGUUGAAAUACUUCAAAGUUGCUCCUCUGUCCUGUCUUUUUUUAUUUUUUCCUGACACUCAGCACUUUAUUGGUGAGGAACCGAGGUCUGAGAAAGGUGGGGCUGGGAUGGACGGGACUAGCUCCCAUUCUCGGUGGAUUCCCCUGGACAUCAGGCGGUCCUCCAUGCACGUUUAGAGGAGGAAAACACCCUCACAGAUAAAAUCCCCAGGGAGCAGCCCUGUGACUGCUAGGCAACAGGGCGGGAGGGAUGCCCUGGGUACAGCGGGGCCCCGGGGAAGCGGGGCUUCUGUAUCGGGCUCAAUGUCCAGGAUUAGAAAGCGACGGCUGUACCUGCGCAAGGGCCCACCGUCUGGGCCCACCAGGAGCUUCCUGGAAGCUCUGGGCGAAGUCCCUGCGGCACACAGACACCAGGGGAUGAACCUGGGAUCCUUCCCGAGGGCUGUGGCAGUGUCACUGGGCAUGCGAAGGGCUUUGCCAAGGCCUGCAAAGAGCCCAGUGCGCCUGCGCCUGCCAGGGUCGCCCCAGGCAGUAGGCAAACAGAAAAGGCCACGUGGAGAGAUGAGAGAGCCACGGCCUAGAGAGCGCCUGUGUUCAAGGCUUUGGCAGCUAGGCUCAGCCUUGCAGUAGUAUCCAGUGAUCCCAGUAAUCUGUGGGCGGUUGUUUGGUAGCUCAAUCGUUCCGACUUUUUGCGGCCCCAGGAACUGUAGCCCGCCAGGCUCCUCUAUCCAUGGGGUUCCCCAGGUAAGAAUACUGGAGUGGGUUGCCGUUUCUUUCUCCAGGGGAAUCUUCCUGACCCAGGGAUCGAACCCAGGUCUCCUGCGUUGGGAGGAGGAUUCUUGAUCACUGAGCCAACUGGGAAGCCCAGUCUCUGGGUUACAAGGGUGCUUGUCCAGAAGAGCAAUUGCCUGGAAUCUCAUUGAAAUGCAGACUGUAAUUCAGGAGGUUUGGGUGCAGCCUGAGCUUCCCAACAAGUUCCUGGUGAUGCCGAGGCCGCUGGGUGGCAAAAGCUUAGAUAAUCUCUUUCGUAGUAAAAUUUCAUGACCACAAACCAGAACUCUGUCGUGAUUGAAGCAUAAAACUAGCUCUAGGCUCUGUAAGAGCCAGGUUAUACAGUGUCAGAGCAGGUCAGAAAAGGGCGGGAAAUGGAUAGGGGUUGGGUAGUGGAAAACUUAAGCAGCUCAUCAGCUCUUAGAAUAAAAGCUUCAAACUGGAUUGUGAGUUCUCAUCCUCUUUGUAGGGAUGUGUGACUGUUUUAAAACAGAUCAUCCAUAAGGACAGAGUGGGG